UUGUGUUCUACUAUAUAUCACUAGCAGGUACGAUUUUUGAUUUUCCUCACAAAACCUCAUCAAAAAAUGAUCCCCUCUCUGAAACGGCGCUGUCGAGAUCUUAUCAAGUUUCGCCCCAAUAAAGGAUCGUAUACGUUUGCAAUUCGUGUAUUUGAUUAUUUGAGUUAAGAAUAAUCCAUUCCAGCACUUUAUUUUUUUUGCCGAGCAUUAAUAAUCACCAAGACCUAUCAACUGGUUGUCUUCAAAGCAACCCUGGCCUCUGUUCACAUCUAAGACCUAUACUUUCCUUGGAUGGCUUCCCUAAUGGUAAUAAGCUAACUCAUAUUCAUCAGCUUAAGAAGAAGGAAGACAUGACCUUAAUGGUUCUUCAGAUGUCCCCUGCUGGACGCUCCUGAAGAAUUUGAGCAAAUUUAUGAACCACUUGCUCUACAUACUGUAUAUGAUCAGCAAAGAUAAAGGAGCAACACAGAUACCGCCAAUCUCACAUUGAAGUGUGGGGUUUGCCAGAUUGGU
rnacentral:lncRNA from 1 species